rnacentral:rRNA from 1 species
GACGGAGGAUGCAAGUGUUAUCCGGAAUCACUGGGCGUAAAGCGUCUGUAGGUGGCUUUUUAAGUCCGCCGUCAAAUCCCAGGGCUCAACCCUGGACAGGCGGUGGAAACUACCAAGCUGGAGUACGGUAGGGGGCAGAGGGAAUUUCCGGUGGAGCGGUGAACUGCGUAGAGAUCGGAAAGAACACCAACGGCGAAAGCACUCUGCUGGGCCGACACUGACACUGAGAGACGAAAGCUAGGGGGAGCGAAUGGG